rnacentral:rRNA from 1 species
CAGAUUGAACGCUGGCGGUAUGCUUAACACAUGCAAGUCGAACGGUAACAGGCCUUCGGGCGCUGACGAGUGGCGGACGGGUGAGUAACGCGUAGGAAUCUGCCUGAUAGUGGGGGACAACGUGGGGAAACCCACGCUAAUACCGCAUACGCCCUACGGGGGAAAGGAGGGGAUCUUCGGACCUUUCGCUAUGAGAUGAGCCUGCGUUAGAUUAGCUAGUUGGUAGGGUAAAGGCCUACCAAGGCGACGAUCUAUAGCUGGUCUGAGAGGACGAUCAGCCACACUGGGACUGAGACACGGCCCAGACUCCUACGGGAGGCAGCAGUGGGGAAUAUUGGACAAUGGGCGCAAGCCUGAUCCAGCAAUACCGCGUGUGUGAAGAAGGCCUUCGGGUUGUAAAGCACUUUCAAUUGGGAGGAAAACCUGCCGGUCAAUACCCGGUAGCUUGACAUUACCUUUAGAAGAAGCACCGGCUAACUCCGUGCCAGCAGCCGCGGUAAUACGGAGGGUGCGAGCGUUAAUCGGAAUUACUGGGCGUAAAGCGUGCGUAGGCGGUUCGUUAAGUCAGAUGUGAAAGCCCCGGGCUUAACCUGGGAACUGCAUUUGAAACUGGCGAACUAGAGUUGAGUAGAGGGGAGUGGAAUUUCAGGUGUAGCGGUGAAAUGCGUAGAUAUCUGAAGGAACACCAGUGGCGAAGGCGACUCCCUGGACUCAACUCGACGUUGGGAUAGCAAAGCGCGGGUAGCAAACGAGGGCUAGAACCUCAGCAAGC